rnacentral:rRNA from 1 species
UACGUAGGGUGCGAGCGUUAAUCGGAAUUACUGGGCGUAAAGCGUGCGUAGUCGGUUAUCUAAGUCGGGUGUGAAAUCCCCGGGCUCAACCUGGGGAAUGGCAGUGGAAACUAGGGGACUGGAAUCUGGCAGAGGGGGGUGGAAUGCCGCGUGUAGCAGUGAAAUGCGUAGAGAUGCGGCGGAACACCGAUGGCGAAGGCAGCCCCCUGGGCUGAGAUUGACGCUCAGGCACGAAAGCGUGGGGAGCAAACAGG